rnacentral:misc_RNA from 1 species
CAAAAUAUGUAUACUAAAGUAACCCUCCAAAUCUCAAGAACCUUGUGAAGUAGAAAAUAUGUAUAGAUUUAGCAACACAGUAAUAGGUUUCUUGAAUCUAUUCACACUUUUAGCAUCCAUUCCGAUCAUAGGUGCUGGAUUAUGGAUGGCAAGGAGUAGUACAACAUGUGAGAAAUUUCUUCAAACACCACUUUUGUUCAUAGGUUUCAUAAUCCUUAUAGUUUCAUUGGCUGGUUUCAUUG